UACGAAGGGGGCUAGCGUUGCUCGGAAUUACUGGGCGUAAAGCGCACGUAGGCGGCUCUUUAAGUCGGAGGUGAAAUCCUGGAGCUCAACUCCAGAACUGCCUUCGAUACUGAAGAGCUCGAGUCCGGGAGAGGUGAGUGGAACUGCGAGUGUAGAGGUGAAAUUCGUAGAUAUUCGCAAGAACACCAGUGGCGAAGGCGGCUCACUGGCCCGGUACUGACGCUGAGGUGCGAAAGCGUGGGGAGCGAACAGGA
rnacentral:rRNA from 1 species